AUAGCACUUUCACAGGUCCUCCCCCAGGCAGUGGGGCCAGGAUUUGGUAGCUGGUGCUAAGAGAAUAACCCUUGAUUGCAUCCUUGCCCUGGAACUGUGUACCAGUGGCAGCUGUUACUCAGUGGGACAGAC
rnacentral:snoRNA from 1 species